UCGGGUCGGGUGGGGUAAUUCCGGAUGGGGGUAAUUCCGGACUAGCCCAGCAGAGGGCGUUUUAAUCGCGUUAUCGAAAUUUUCCGCCAGGUGGUGAAUCUCUAUGUUAUGUUGACCAUACUGUGUGCAGCCAUUGUUGUUUUGUUAAUGUUUCGUCGCCGCGAGAACUCCGCAAAUUUGGUCCAAUAUGCCAAGAAAGUAUACUAAGAAACGUCCUCCCAAACCUUACACUGAGGUAGACCUGCAGAAUGCUUUGAAAGAUGUUCAAAGUGGAAAGUUAAAACUCUUGGCUGCUGCUAGCAACUACAAUAUCCCAUCAUCCACUCUUUCAGACCAUUUAAGCAACAAAGUAAAGUUUCAAGGUAUUUAGAAGACUUUAGUGACGUCUCCGAAGAAUUUGAUGCUCCUUUGCUUGAAGAUUUUGUGGACUCCGCUGCAGGGGAGAAAGCUAAACUAGAUGACUUUGUACUGGUGCGCUUCAAAACGCCUUCUAGUAAGGAGGCUUUCCUGUAUUAUGUGGGUCAAGUCACAGCAGUUUUAAUGGAUGAUAUUUCAAUCAAUUUUAUGAGGAAGAAAAAAACGUCUUUCGUUUUUCCUCAUGUGUCUGAUGUCAGUGAAGUUUCGAAAAUCGAUGUGAAGAAAAUCCUGCCAGAACCAUCUGUUCGCCGUGGUUAUCAUACUUUUAAAAUAAUUUUUCCAACUGAGCUAACCUUACAGUGAUUAGGUAGGUAGGUACGGUAGGUACCUAUUUUUAAUUUGCUUUUUUAAAUUGCUCAGGUGUUUAAAUUAGGUAGGCAUAUUUUCUUAUAUUCUGGCGAACUUUUUUUUUUUAUCCUCCUUCGUUUUCUUAGUACCUAGAUAUGUAAGCCCUUUUCGUUUUUCGAACUUCCAGUUACCUACUUUACCUAGGUAUAUGUUCUCAUUUCCUUAAAAUUUAAGUAGGUUGGGAUACCUAAUUGUUUUUUUUCUUUCAAAUUUGUUGGUAGGAAGGUAUUAUUAUUUGAUCUCUUAAAACUUGAAUUACCUAGUCACGGUACGCAAUCCUUCCCACUUUUCUUUAGGUAGGCAUCCUAUUUUAUUCAGGUAGGUAUAUUUAUUUUUUAAGCAUCAGGUGCCUUUUCUAAAUUUAAAUAAGUUACUUCAGUAUCUUUACCUAAGUGCUAUUGUGUUACCUACCUAAUUUCUAAAAUUUUAGUUACUUACCUGAUUGUUUGUUCAGUUUUCGCUAAUAUUUUAUUUCUUCGUUUCACUCGGAUUAAAUAAAUGUUAACUUUUUUUGUACCUACCUGUUCUUUUCUUCAACCUUUCCAACAUACCUACCUAGGUACCUACCUAUGUGUAAAACCAUCUAUGUGAAGGAGUGUCCUAGUAAAACUGGAUUGUUGGAUUAUUGAAAAAAUGCAAAAAGAUAAUUCAAAUUCAAUAAUCCGAUUCAAAUUGAAUCAUCUUUUUGCCAAAUCAAUCAUUUUUAAUAAAUUUUAUUGCCAAAUAAUCUUUUAGAUUUCUGUUGGACGUGCAAAAAGUUGCCCCUUUCAGCAAAAUUGUAAUUCACCAAUGGGUUGUUUGUUUUUUUCGAAUUUUUCUCAAAGUAAUUGAGAAUUACUGACAUUCGGAAUUACACCGGAAGUACGAUUUGGGGUAAUUCCGGAUGUUCGAAUUUCUUUAAAAUUCUUGGACAAAGUGAUGACAAAGAGCAUACAAAUUAGCCUCUGAAAGGAAACUGCAUAAAGUCAGUGUGGGGCUGAUAUACAUAUCCGGAAUUACCCCCACCCAGCGGGGGUAAUUCCGGAUUGAUGGGGCAAUUCCGGAUUGAAAAAAAUGAGCUGCAAUUAUUACUUAUCUUGUCUCGUAUGGGCAUGGUUGGCAUCCUCGGAACGUCUAGUUUCCAAAAAAACACAAACUUGCGCAAUUUGGUUAAUUUUCUAUGAACCUAUUUAAGAUUUUCAUCAAACUAAUCAGAAACGUCCGGAAUUACCCCACCCGACCUCCUUACUUUCCUCUCUAAAAUUAAAAAAAAACACAGCACUUAUGCUAUGUUUUCAGCAAAAUGCUGAGGGCAUUUACUUAAUAUUACAUUUAUCACAAAUAAAUAUCAGAAACUGAAACAACACUAUUUUAAAAUUGAAGACACUAAGUUGACUACAAUUUUCAAUGAGGAACUGCUAUUCCUGGCUCAUUUUAGGAGGAACAAAAUGUGCCAUUACUUCAUGAUCCGUUGUUGUGUCGUGUAUUAGUUUCCUGUGUAGAUAGAUAAUAAAACAAAUGAACCAAAAAUAGUAGUUCCUUAAGGCUAAAUGUAGUCAAAGUUUAAAAAUUAUCAUCGGGACAUAAUCAUUCUUUUGUCUCUUGCCCGGUUCAUCAAGAAUUUGCUCAUAUAAGCAUACCAUAAAUUGAGAGUUGUGUGGUGUUUAAUCAUGAAAACUAAAACACAUCUACACAGAAACAUUUGAUUAUAAUUAAAGAACACAUCAGCCGAAAAUAUUCGCAUUAAUCAAUUAAUAAUUAAAGAUUUCGGAGCCGAACCGUACCAGCCUCGUAUAAGCGCACUGUUCGUUUACCGCGAGCUGGGGACGGCUGGGGCUCACUCACCUCACCGGUGCCGUUUCGGUGUCCCGCACUCAUCGGUCGGUGCGGCAUGCGAA